AGUGAACGCUGGCGGUAGGCCUAACACAUGCAAGUCGAACGGCAGCACAGUAAGAGCUUGCUCUUACGGGUGGCGAGUGGCGGACGGGUGAGGAAUACAUCGGAAUCUACUUUUUCGUGGGGGAUAACGUAGGGAAACUUACGCUAAUACCGCAUACGACCUACGGGUGAAAGCAGGGGAUCUUCGGACCUUGCGCGAUUGAAUGAGCCGAUGUCGGAUUAGCUAGUUGGCGGGGUAAAGGCCCACCAAGGCGACGAUCCGUAGCUGGUCUGAGAGGAUGAUCAGCCACACUGGAACUGAGACACGGUCCAGACUCCUACGGGAGGCAGCAGUGGGGAAUAGUGGACAAUGGGCGCAGGCCUGAUCCAGCCAUACCGCGUGGGUGAAGAAGGCCUUCGGGUUGUAAAGCCCUUUUGUUGGGAAAGAAAAGCAGCAGGUUAAGACCCCGCUGUUCUGACGGUACCCAAAGAAUAAGCACCGGCUAACUUCGUG
rnacentral:rRNA from 1 species